AAGAAAAAGGUGGCAUUUCAAGGGAUUAAGCUAAUAAAGGCUCGAGGUAGCUUGUGGAUAGCAGAUAUCGUCAAGGAUUAUAGUCAGCUUUACUACUCCAAAAACUGUAGGUUUACUGCCUUUGUGUACUUUUGUUCCCUGUGGGCCCACGAGUCAUUGUAAAGCUCAGAAUAGACUGUAGAUAGCUGGUAUCGUUGAG